CUGUCAUUUUAUAGCAUUACUAGAGUUAUCUGGUAUAUUCUCUGCAAAGUUGUGUUUAUAUACUUUCACAUGAAUUUUGUUUAAAGUGGUGUUCUAGCAAGUUUAGAAAUUUCUGAAUCCACCCAUCACACAAUGACAACAGAAAAGUGUCUGAUUUUUUUGCUGUGUAUCCUUUUUUUUGAGCCUUCCCAGAACCUGGGAUUUAGAGUUGAAUGCUGUCUCGUGAGAGCUCGGCUGCUGGAAUCCCAUCACUGGUCUGAACGGGUCCCUAACAGACAGGAAAUUGGAAAACAACAUGCGAGGAGUGGUUCUGCGAGUGGUGACUGUGCUGGAAGAGCCCUUUGUCAUGGUGUCUGAGAACGUUCUGGGAAAACCAAAGAAGUAUCAAGGCUUCUCAAUAGAUGUCCUGGAAGCUUUGGCCAAUUACCUUGGCUUUAAGUAUGAAAUUUAUGUUGCUCCAGAUCACAAGUACGGGAGUCCUCAGGAUGAUGGGUCAUGGAAUGGACUGAUAGGAGAACUAGUAUUUAAGCUUUCUUAGAUGCACUCCAGCAGAGGAUAGCUACAUGGGAAUACAAAUGAUACUGUUAAACUCCACUGGAGCCUGUCCAGAGAUGCCAUUCCUCCGGGAACCUUCUUCAAACAUGGUGCAUCAACAUCAAACAUGGUGAUCAAGCAUUUUCAACAUGCCCCAGCUAAGGAGGAAAGGCAGACCUCACUUAGUACUAGUUAUCACAUGGCAGCCUCCCUACCUGAAGCAUACAUGAGCAGCUGCUAUUAGAGAUCACAGAGCUUCAAUCAGACCAGAGAUGGAACCUGCAAGCUUUGAGUGCCUCACAAUGAAGAUAUCACUAAGUUACACAGAAGCAGAUAAAGCUCAAAACCUUCCUCAAACCGGAUGCGCAUGCUCUUCUCCCAGCCCACCCAGGGAAGAAUUCUUCCAUCUUUCUAGCUGGUCAGGCCCAGAAAAGAGCUAGGCUCUCCUCAGCAGCCAGGAAGGAGCACCACUCUGCAAGGAAGACUUGCCCAAGCCCAGCAGCAGCUACACUCCAGAUGACAUUCUCAUCUCUGGAGGGCUUCCUACCACCACACCCCCACUCGGGGGGGGGGGGGGUUCCGUCCAGAGAUGGAGGGCUCCUUCCCAACAGACACUCAGGGGGGGAGCACCUCCAUCUCUGGAGGCCUCCUCACACAUGCCACCACUCAGGGGGAGCUUCACCCUACCAGGCUCCUCCCUCACAUCCCAAAGAAAGGGUACCAAUAAAGGGCCACUCACAAGUACAACAAAACCUGCCUUCCUCCCCUAAAAAAAAAUUCUGUUUGAGAUAGUACAAAUCCCAGUAUCCAGCACCCAAACAAAAUCCAAACCAGAAUGCAACCCAGACAGUAGCACUCUACCACCUUCUCAGUCCCACUCCAAAAGCAAAUUGCAUCCUUCAGCGCAUCUCCCAAAAAGAUGGAUUAAGAUAGUACUGGUCACUUUCCUCUGGAACACAAACCACGCGUAAACCUGAAAUAAAAAAUAAAACACCCUUCAGCACCAUACUCCAGAAACAAAGGCACCACUACCCUCAACACCAGCAAAGAAGAACUGACGGA